rnacentral:rRNA from 1 species
CCCUUAGAUGUUCUGGGCGGCCCGCGCACUACAAUGGCGUGUGCAGCGAGUGCCGAAGUAGAGUUUUCCGAGGUAUUCUUGCAAUGCUCGUUUUGAUGGGGAUAGACCCUUGCAACUGUUGGUUUUGAACGAGGAAUUCCUUGUAAGCAUGGUUUAUCAUCCGACGCUGAAUGCGUCCCUGCCCUUUGUACACACCGCCCGUCGCUCCUACCGAUGAGUCGUCCGGUGAAGUUCGUAGACCUCGUGAUCGCGGAUCACUGGGGGAAGCAAAAUGAACCUCGCGGUUUAGAGGAAGGAGAAGUCGUAACG